rnacentral:rRNA from 1 species
UGAGUACGAGAUGCUACGGCAUCGAAGCAGUCUAUGUCAUACUUCCAAGAAAAGCUUGCAAUGUCAUAAACAAAUAAUGCCUGUACCAUAACCGACACAGGUGGGUAGGUAGAGUAUACUAAGGGGCGCGAGAUAACUCUCUCUAAGGAACUCGGCAAAAUGACUCCGUAACUUCGGGAGAAGGAGUGCCUUAUUUUUAUAAGGUUGCAAUAACAAGAUCCAAGCAACUGUUUACCAAAAACACAGGUCUCCGCUAAGUCGUAAGACGAUGUAUGGGGGCUGACGCCUGCCCAGUGCCAGAAGGUUAAAGAAGUUGGUUAGCAUUAGCGAAGCUGAUAACUGAAGCCCUGGUGAACGGCGGCCGUAACAAUAACGGUCCUAAGGUAGCGAAAUUCCUUGUCGGGUAAGUUCCGACCCGCACGAAAGGCGUAAUGAUUUGGAUACUGUCUCGGAGAGGGGCUCGGUGAAAUAGACUUGUCUGUGAAGAUGCGGACUACCUGCACCUGGACAGAAAGACCCUAUGAAGCUUUACUGUAACUUGAGAUUGAAAUUGGACUUUAUCUGCGCAGUAUAGGUGGGAGACGUUGAAAAUAUUCUUGCGGGAAUAUUGGAGUCAUCAGUGAGAUACCACUCUUAUAAUGUUAGAUUUCUAACUUUGUAUCAUUAUCUGGUCAAAGAACAGUUUCAGGCGGGCAGUUUGACUGGGGCGGUCGCCUCCCAAACGGUAACGGAGGCGCACAAAGGUUUCCUCUGAACGUGUAGAAAUCGUAUCUAGAGUGUAAAGGCAUAAGGAAGCUUGACUGUGAGACCUACAAGUCGAGCAGGGACGAAAGUCGGUCUUAGUGAUCUGACGGUGCUGAGUGGAAAGGCCGUCACUCAACGGAUAAAAGUUACUCUAGGAUAACAGGCUGAUCUCCCCCAAGAGUUCACAUCGACGGGGAGGUUUGGCACCUCGAUGUCGGCUCAUCGCAUCCUGGGGCGGUAGUACGUCCCAAGGGUUGGGCUGUUCGCCCAUGAAAGCGGUACGCGAGCUGGGUUCAGAACGUCGUGAGACAGUUCGGUCCAUAUCCGGUGUAGGCGUUAGAAUAUUGAGAGGAGCCUUCUUUAGUACGAGAGGACCGAGAAGGACAUACCUCUGGUGUACCAGUUAUCGUGCCAACGGUAAACGCUGGGUAGCCAUGUAUGGAGAGGAUAACCGCUGAAAGCAUCUAAGUGGGAAGCCCACCUCAAGAUAAGUAUUCUCGU